CUCCUACGGGAGGCAGCAGUAAGGAAUAUUGGUCAAUGGACGCAAGUCUGAACCAGCCAUGCCGCGUGAAGGAUGAAGGUCCUCUGGAUUGUAAACUUCUUUUAUCUGGGACGAAACACUGGUUUUCUUAACCAGCUUGACGGUACCAGAGGAAUAAGCACCGGCUAACUCCGUGCCAGGCAGCCGCGGUAAUUC
rnacentral:rRNA from 1 species